GUUUGAUCAUGGCUCAGAUUGAACGCUGGCGGCAUGCCUUACACAUGCAAGUCGAACGGUAACGCGGGGGCAACCCUGGCGACGAGUGGCGAACGGGUGAGUAAUACAUCGGAACGUACCCAGUAGUGGGGGAUAGCUCGGCGAAAGCCGGAUUAAUACCGCAUACGACCUACGGGUGAAAGCGGGGGACCGCAAGGCCUCGCGCUAUUGGAGCGGCCGAUGUCGGAUUAGCUUGUUGGCGGGGUAAAAGCCCACCAAGGCGACGAUCCGUAGCUGGUCUGAGAGGACGAUCAGCCACACUGGAACUGAGACACGGUCCAGACUCCUACGGGAGGCAGCAGUGGGGAAUUUUGGACAAUGGGGGCAACCCUGAUCCAGCCAUGCCGCGUGAGUGAAGAAGGCCUUCGGGUUGUAAAGCUCUUUCGGCGGGGACGAAACGGUUCAUGCCAACACCAUGAACUAAUGACAGUACUCGCAGAAGAAGCACCGGCUAACUACGUGCCAGCAGCCGCGGUAAUACGUAGGGUGCAGGCGUUAAUCGGAAUUACUGGGCGUAAAGCGUGCGCAGGCGGCUCCUUAAGUCAGAUGUGAAAUCCCCGGGCUUAACCUGGGAACUGCGUUUGAAACUGAGGGGCUUGAGUGUGGAAGAGGGGGGUGGAAUUCCAGGUGUAGCAGUGAAAUGCGUAGAGAUCUGGAGGAACACCGAUGGCGAAGGCAGCCCCCUGGGCUAACACUGACGCUCAUGCACGAAAGCGUGGGGAGCAAACAGGAUUAGAUACCCUGGUAGUCCACGCCCUA
rnacentral:rRNA from 1 species